rnacentral:lncRNA from 1 species
UUACUAAGUUUGUCGUUAGUUAAUAAGUUACGUUCCCUUGGGAAUUGACAGAACAACGUCGUUAAGGUACGUUAAACUAUCCGGCCUUAGGCCGAAUCGUUUUACCACCACUCACUUCGCGUUUGAACCCGAUCCCCAAUCGAGAUAAGUAAGUGUAAAUAAAAUAAAUCAGAAAAAGUUUAUGUAGUUGUCAUUUCGGUUUUUUUUAGAUAAAAUAAAACAUAAUAUUUUAUAAAAAUUACAGUUGUUUUAGCUGCUUAGUAGUGCUUAAUAGUAGUGCUAUAUAUAACUAAACUUAAAUACGCUGCAUUAUAAAAAAAUUUUCAUAGUCUUUAGGUUUUUCUUAAGCGCAGCCUUAUGGUUUGUGAUAAACAACUAAAAUGCCCUACCCAAAAAGGAACUAAAAAGUAAGUAAUACCACAACGUAUCGCACCUGACAGGUUUUUGUCACGCGUAUCUAGAUAGCAGCGCUCUCAAAGAAAAAAAACUAGGCCUAUUAGGGUAUGCAAGAAAUUGAUGCUAGAACUAGCUCUCGGUGAGGAGCGGAGCUCCAAACGUAAUUUAGCGCACGUUAAGGUACCUUACACUAAGGUACGUAAUAAACCCGGCCGUAGGUCGGAUACACGGGUUCUUGUGGCUUGGUCACAAUACUUAGGUCUUCGUUGUCUUACUUCCCCGAAGGNGGACGAAGGGGGACAACAAACAUAAGUGAACUUCGGCAUAUACAACGAUCCGGCCUAAGGCAGUGGGAGUUAAAACAGGGAGCAAAGGACGCGUUUGAGUUACUUAAGCUACAAACUAGCCGGUUUGUAGUUUAAUUGCAUUAAACUACAAACCGGCUAAAGGUCAGGUCGAGGCUCUUCGUCUUCUUCGGGGAAGAAACUACGUUGUACAAUAACAGGCCUUCGGCCAUGUAUAAAUAACAUGGCCCUUAUUUUUCGUCACAAAAGCGUUAGCACAACAUCGUCCUUCAGCCAAAUUCACGUCGCUAGCGUUAUAAGGUAUUUUAUAGUUU